AGAGUUUGAUCCUGGCUCAGAAUCAACGCUGGCGGCGUGCCUAACACAUGCAAGUCGAACGAGAAAGUGGAGCAAUCCAUGAGUAAAGUGGCGCACGGGUGAGUAACACGUGACUAACCUACCCUUGAGUGGGGAAUAACUUCGGGAAACCGAGGCUAAUACCGCAUAACACCUACGGGUCAAAGGAGCAAUUCGCUUAAGGAGGGGGUCGCGGCAGAUUAGUUAGUUGGCGGGGUAAUGGCCCACCAAGACAGUGAUCUGUAUCCGGCCUGAGAGGGCGCACGGACACACUGGAACUGAAACACGGUCCAGACUCCUACGGGAGGCAGCAGUGGGGAAUUUUGCGCAAUGGGGGAAACCCUGACGCAGCAACGCCGCGUGGAGGAUGAAGUCUCUUGGGACGUAAACUCCUUUCGAUCGGGACGAUAAUGACGGUACCGAGAGAAGAAGCCCCGGCUAACUUCGUGCCAGCAGCCGCGGUAAUACGAGGGGGGCGAGCGUUGUUCGGAAUUAUUGGGCGUAAAGGGUGCGUAGGCGGUUCGGUAAGUCUUGUGUGAAAUCUUCGGGCUCAACUCGAAGUCUGCACGAGAAACUGCCGGGCUUGAGUGUGGGAGAGGUGAGUGGAAUUUCCGGUGUAGCGGUGAAAUGCGUAGAUAUCGGAAGGAACACCUGUGGCGAAAGCGGCUCACUGGACCACAACUGACGCUGAGGCACGAAAGCUAGGGGAGCAAACAGGAUUAGAUACCCUGGUAGUCCUAGCCCUAAACGAUGAUCGCUUGGUGUGACGGGUACCCAAUCCCGCCGUGCCGAAGCUAACGCGUUAAGCGAUCCGCCUGGGGAGUACGGUCGCA
rnacentral:rRNA from 1 species